rnacentral:lncRNA from 1 species
AUGUGAGGAGAAGAGGCAGAAGUGAAGCCAGGCACAGGCCCGGGCAGACCGGGGAGGCCAGGAGGUCACCACCCUGUUCCCAGCCCCUACCCCACUUCCUGUCUCCAUACAGGGAAGGUUAGCCCUCAUAUCACUCGAUCACUCGAGGCAGAACCCUCUGGUCACAUCACAGAAUGUCCUUAGUGAGUCUCCGAGGCACAGACUUCUGCAUGCCCAGGAAUGUUUUCCUUCACCCUCUCUGAAGGGUGGCUUUGCUGCAGCUGGCACCGUGCUGACGGUCACUUCUCACCUGACAUCAGGACACCCUUCAUUGACAUCUUAGAGCCAGUGCAGCAGCUCUUGGGCAGCAGCCUUCUCCUCUGCUGCUUUGGAGUCUUGGUGCACGUAUGCUUGCAUGCGCAUCAGAAGACUGAAGUUCCAUUUGUCAUUUGUCAGGGUGUUUGGAGGACUGGUUGAAUCGCCGGCUUCUGAGGAUUAUCUUGAUUCUGCCUUCCACUUUGCCACAGGAGUUCUGGGACCUCACUACCAUGUUUAGCUUUACACGGAUCCUGGAGACUCAAACCCAGGCCCCCAUGCUUGCAUGGCAAGCCCUUUACCCACCGCCGGCUAGUUUUAUGUCAAAUUAGUACAAGCUAGGGUUAUGUGAGAGGAGGGAACCUCAGUAAAGAAAAAUGCCUCUGUAAGAGCAGGCUGUAGGCCAGACUGGAGGGGAUUUUCUUGCUUACUGAUUGAUAAUGGAGGGCCCAGCCCAUUGUGGACGUUGCUACCACUGGGCUGGCGGUGCUGUAAGAAAGCAGGCUGGCGGUGCUGUAAGAAAGCAGGCUGACGAGUAUGAAGCUAGUAAGCAGUCUUUCCCUAUGGCCUUUGUAUCUGCUCCUGCCUCUAGGUUCCUAGCCUGCUUGAGUCCC